rnacentral:rRNA from 1 species
AUUGAACGCUGGCGGCAGGCCUAACACAUGCAAGUCGAGCGGAGCGGCGGACGGGUGAGUAAUGCCUAGGAAUCUGCCUGGUAGUGGGGGCUAACGUCCGGACACGGGCGCUAAUCCCGCAUACUAUAAGAUUAGCCUAGGUCGGAUUAGCUAGUUGGUGGGGUAAAGGCCUACCACGGCGCACAUCCGUAACGGGUCUGAGAGGAUGAUCAGGCACACUGGAACUGAGACACGUGCCAGACUCCUACGGGAGGCAGCAGUGGGGAAUAUUGGACAAUGGGCGAAAGCCUGAUCCAGCCAUGCCGCGUGUGUGAAGAAGGUCUUCGGAUUGUAAAGCACUUUAAGUUGGGAGGCGUUACCAACAGAAUAAGCACCGGCUAACUUCGUGCCAGCAGCCGCGGUAAUUC